rnacentral:rRNA from 1 species
UACAGAGGUCUCAAGCGUUGUUCGGAUUCAUUGGGCGUAAAGGGUGCGUAGGCGGCGCGGUAAGUCGGGUGUGAAAUCUCGGGGCUUAACUCCGAAACUGCAUUCGAUACUGCCGUGCUUGAGGACUGGAGAGGAGACUGGAAUUUACGGUGUAGCGGUGAAAUGCGUAGAUAUCGUAAGGAAGACCAGUGGCGAAGGCGGGUCUCUGGACAGUUUCCUGACGCUGAGGCACGAAGGUCAGGGGAGCAAACGGG